CGUGCGCGGUGCCUCCCUCGGGCAGCCUCCUCCACCGCGUGCGUGAUGGCGGUGGAUGGCCGUCCCGCAACCGCGGUGGCGCCUGUCCAUGGCGUCGACUACACAAAACUCCCAUGGGGAAGUUUUCAUCCUUAUAGCAGAGAAGAAGGGCUUCACUUCAUCGUACCAGCCAGGAAAGGUGCAUGGUGGUUGCAAGCCAUGGAGGGGAGGCGGUCCUGUUCAACAUCGGCUAAUUGAACGCAAAUCAUGCGGCUUGUUGCUUGCCUAAUUGAACACCUGCUGCUGCUACUGCGACACCAUGGCUGGGGUGUCCAGUGGGUCGCGCCUACUUACCUGGCAGCAGUGGCGGCGGCUACAAGUUUUCUCCACUACUGCAACUCAUCUCCAAGUCCUACAGCCUGGAUCAUCUCCUUCACCAGCGCCUACAUUGGAUGAUAAACCUUUUUAAGAUCAAGGGGCAGAAGAAGGAAGAGGUGGCCAACUCAAAUGUGGGGCCUCCUGUUAAGAAGCAAAGUCCAGGGCGACGGCCGAAGGCAUGAUGAUAGUUCUAUUGUUGUCCUAGUGUAGCAAAGGUGGC